rnacentral:rRNA from 1 species
ACUCAAAUGAAUUGACGGGGGCCCGCACAAGCGGUGGAGCAUGUGGUUUAAUUCGACGCAACGCGAAGAACCUUACCUGGGCUCGAAAUGCUAUGGACCGGGGUGGAAACAUCCCUUCCCCGCAAGGGGCCGUAGUAUAGGUGCUGCAUGGCUGUCGUCAGCUCGUGUCGUGAGAUGUUGGGUUAAGUCCCGCAACGAGCGCAACCCUUACUUCCAGUUGCCACCAUUUAGUUGGGCACUCUGGCAGAACCGCCUCGGAUAACGGGGAGGAAGGUGGGGAUGACGUCAAGUCCUCAUGGCCUUUAUGUCCAGGGCUACACACGUGCUACAAUGGCCGGUACAAACCGUCGCAAACCCGCGAGGGGGAGCUAAUCGGAGAAAGCCGGCCUCAGUUCGGAUCGCAGUCUGCAACUCGACUGCGUGAAGCUGGAAUCGCUAGUAAUCGCGGAUCAGAACGCCGCGGUGAAUACGUUCCCGGGCCUUGUACACACCGCCCGU